GAUGAAGAACGCAGUGAAAUGCGAUAAGUAAUGUGAAUUGCAGAAUUCAGUGAAUCAUCGAAUCUUUGAACGCACAUUGCGCCCAUUAGUAUUCUAGUGGGCAUGCCUGUUCGAGCGUCAUUUCAACCCUUAAGCCCCUGUUGCUUAGUGUUGGGAGCCUACAGUCUUUUCUGUAGCUCCUCAAAGUUAGUGGCGGAGUCGGUUCAAGCUCUAGACGUAGUAAAUCUUUUAUCUCGCCUAUAGAUGCGCCGGUCCCCUGCCGUAAAACACCCCAAUUUUUUAGGUUGACCUCGGAUCAGGUAGGAAUACCCGCUGAACUUAAGCAUAUCAAUAAGCGGAGGA
rnacentral:misc_RNA from 1 species